AACUAUUAUCCUCCAUUUACAGUUAAGUAAACUGAGGCCCUGGAAAAUGAGGCACUUUAGUUUUAAAAGCUGCUAAAGUCUAUUGCUACAUCAUGCAGAUGUUACUUUGAAAGUUUGGACUUCUGCUAGACCUUUGCCUCUAAUGCUCAUGACUUUGGUCUAAUCACUGAGACAUGGUUAGGAAAGACCAGCUGGAAGUUGUUUCUGGAGAUGGAGCUUUAUGUUUUCCCAAGGUUGUAACAUGGCUGCUGCUCUGCAAGCUCACAUCCACUAUCCAGGCUGAAGCCAGAAGAAGUGGGAAGAGAAAAACCAAAGGACAGUGCCCUCUGUAAACCACUUUUAAAAAACGUUUCUCAGCAGCUACUCUUUAGAGGUAUGAUGGAUCUCCCCACAAAGUCUGGUUCAGGUGUCAAGACCUACACACCAAGAAACGAUGAGAAGAAUUAUCAUUCACAUGAGACUUUCUGGGGCAAGCAGAGUGGCUACCAAACAGGUCUUAAAAUGGCUUGAGAAAUCCAGGUCCCAGAUAAUAAUUAGGAAAACAAAUCAGGACCGAAACUCCAGAGAGAAUUUCACAAAUUCAAGGAGAAAAAUUUAAGAAGAAAUCACUGAAAUGAGAAGAAACUGCCAUUUUAUUGAUGGUGAACAGCUGGCAUCAAGGAAUAUUAUGAAGCACAGUAGGCUUUAAUUGUGAUCUAUGUUAAAACAUAUUACAAUAUGGAAAGAAACCAUAGGGUAAAGCAAUUGGCUCUAUUUGUAUUCAAUGUAAAUUCAUAACAUCAUGAAAAGAUAUGAGAAAGAAUAAUUACUAACAUAAAGUUGCCUUUCAUUCUCAAAUGCAUAAUGCAAUCUAUAACUAGGACAAAAAUUAAUUCUAUGAACUAAAAUAAGAUGUAAUGUAUAUUGAAAAUAUUUUAGACAAAACUUAUGGGCAUGCAAGUAUACUAUUUUUUUGCUAAUUGCAUUAACAGUUUUCUGCACUUCAAAAAUUACAGUUUCUGCAAUCAUACUAUUACUAUAAAGGCAAUAGCCUAAUUAAAGAAAAGAUGGAG
rnacentral:lncRNA from 10 species